AAAUAUUCCAAGCUACAAUAAAUCGGACGAAAUUUUUGUUUAAAAAAUUAUUUUGGAAAAUUUUGGGGUUAGUUUCUCCAAUGCAGAACAUAGUUCUGUUGUAGAAGCUACUUUUUUAUGAAGCUCAAGGUGAACUUUCAAACAAUGACAUAUAACUUGAUGAUUAGUUCCUAAUGAUCUCGGUUCGAUUUUCUUCGUUUUCUGAUCUGAUAUAAUGGUAAAAGAUGGACAGAGACAUUCGCAUCGUUGCGUGACAGGUGAAAUUUUUGUUCCGUAGCGAGACGUCUGACUGCGAAAGUAUUUGCCAAAAAUGUCAUCAUUAAUCAAGAGUGAAACUCAAAGGCUCGAAGGUGAUCAAAUGGCGCCCUAGUUCUAACAGUAAACGAUAUCAACUAGCGUUCCGUUGGCGGUGAAUACGCCUUGACGGUCAAUUUUUCGGAAGCGAAAAUUUCUUCGGUU
rnacentral:ncRNA from 1 species